rnacentral:tRNA from 1 species
CCUUCGAUAGCUCAGCUGGUAGAGCGGAGGACUGUAGGUUGGACAGACGACUGUGGACAUCCUUAGGUCGCUGGUUCGAUUCCGGCUCGAAGGA